UUAGGAUUUUAGUUUACUUAAAACAUUUGAUUUGCAAUCAAAAAAUAUUGAAAUUACAAUUUAUCUUA
rnacentral:tRNA from 1 species